rnacentral:rRNA from 1 species
AAUGGAGGAAACUCUGACCCAGCCAUGCCGCGUGCAGGAAGACUGCCUAUGGGUUGUAAACUGCUUUUAUACAGGAAGAACACUCGUACGUGUACGAGCUUGACGGUACUGUAAGAAUAAGGACCGGCUAACUCCGUGCCAGCAGCCGCGGUAAUACGGAGGGUCCGAGCGUUAUCCGGAAUCAUUGGGUUUAAAGGGUCCGCAGGCGGUCAAUUAAGUCAGAGGUGAAAUCCCAUAGCUUAACUAUGGAACUGCCUUUGAUACAGGUUGACUUGAGUCAUAUGGAAGUAGAUAGAAUGUGUAGUGUAGCGGUGAAAUGCAUAGAUAUUACACAGAAUACCGAUUGCGAAGGCAGUCUACUACGUAUGUACUGACGCUCAUGGACGAAAGCGUGGGGAGCGAACAGGAUU